UACAGAGGGUGCUAGCGUUGUUCGGAAUUAUUGGGCGUAAAGGGCGCGUAGGCGGCUUCGUAUGUCGGGUGUGAAAUCCCACCUCUUAAAGGUGGAAUUGCAUUCGAAACUACGUGGCUGGAGUGUGGCAGAGGAAGGUGGAAUUCCAGGUGUAGCGGUGAAAUGCGUAGAGAUCUGGAGGAACACCGAUGGCGAAGGCAGCCUUCUGGGCCAACACUGACACUCAUGCACGAAAGCGUGGGGAGCAAACAGG
rnacentral:rRNA from 1 species